rnacentral:lncRNA from 1 species
GCAGGAGAAACUGCCGUUCAGAGGGAGUUGUCCCUUCCCAGGAAGAGGUUGUAACUUGUAAGGCAACAUGGCCUCAUUCAGUGUCUGUUGUUUGGCAGAUGUUAUUCUUCUAAGGUGAACCAGUGUUCACCGCUCACAGUCAGCCAGCAGCUGUGGUCUCUAAAAAGCGUUUUCUACGGGAUGAAAGGGGAAAGCUCCAAAGCUUUCCUUGUAGACAGCAGGGUCCUUUCUUGGGCUCUGUGGUCAUAUUCCCAACAGAUCAGGAGUUGGACCAGACAGUGUGCAUCAACAGUAGACACUGUAGUCCAUUCACACAUAUAGAGCCCAUGUGACUCCAGCUGGGCACAUGUGUAGAUAUUUAAUGGAUAACACAAAAUAAGAUUAUUUUAAAAGACCUUUUCCCUUUCUAGGACUAAAAUGAUAUAUUUAUCAGCAUAAGAGGGGUUUUUUUUUGGGGGGGGUUGGUUUUAUUUACUUAGUACACAUGUGAAUUUUUGUUAUAAAGUUCCUAACUUACUCAAGAGGGUAGACUCAAAAGUCUUUUACAACAACCCCUAGUGCGGUUUUAUGCCUCUGUAAAGUGAUAUUCAGGUUAUUUACAUACUUUCAGACACAAUGUAGAGCAGCUCUUCACUCAGCCUAAUUUAGUCUUGGUCUCCCAGGAGCUGUCCAGACAAUCUGAGUACUUUCUGUGCUCUCAAGAAUUUCGUGUGACAACAAGCAAUCGGAUGGAAACAGUUCAGGUGUCUUCAGUUGCUGGGAUUUGUGUCACCUCAGUGUGAUACAUCCUGCCUGUUAUACAAUUAAUCAGCAAAUAGGUUUUGAAAAGAUGAGCAUAUUUUUCCUCUAGCAGUAUACAGUUGCCAUUAGCAAAGCAGCCCGGUGCUUCAUAAGAACUGUGUGUGUUCCACGUUAACAGAGACCUCUCCUGGAAGCCGGGGAGAGUAUUCAGGGCCUGUUCUGUUUCCCCCGGUAACUAGGUGACUAGAUUGUUAAACUGCUGCUAUUUUAGAUCUGUUAUCAAAGACCUGUUAUCAUCAGCCUUGCCUCUGCAGUGCAAUGUAUCCCUAAGUGGAGAUGUCUAUAUGCAAGGGAUCACAUGUGCGGUGGAAUGUAUCCUAAGUGGGCAUGUAUGUAUUCAGGGGAUCACAUGUGCGGUGGAAUGUAUCCUAAGUGGGCAUGUAUAUAUUCAGGGGAUCACAUGUGUACAUUAGCAUCUGAUGUCUGUACAGAACAUUCCCUGGCCACGUGCUUUUUUUAGUCACAGUUUGUAUAAAACAUAGAACUCUAGAAAACUUCUGAAUGGCAACCAGCCCAAAUCCUUUCAAUCAUUUAUUAGAAAAUCUUCCAUAUAAAGUGGCUCCGUCUUCUGGUGAAUGUCUUCAGUUACAGCAGGAAAAACAAACCUCUCUUUUGAAAGGGUAUUUCAUAUUAGUCUGAAUAUAAAUGACAUCUGAGUGGCGGACCUGCACACAUAGUCACCUUCCUCCCUUGAGGCGAGGGGCAUUUGUCACAGCUCAGGGGAUUACAGGAGCUCAACUGAAAUUGGAUUUCUCUGCACGGAUGUCAACAGUGACACCAAGCACCACCCUCAGUAAAUUUUCCAGGCCUGCCUGGUUCUAAGUGGGGCCGAUUUCAUGUAACCUGAAAUGCUGUUAUCUCCGAAGUAGAAGCUGCUGUGAGUGGAUUUAGAGUAAAGACGGAGGCAAAUGCCUGGGCGAUUUCCCCGGCGAAACUGAGGGAAAUCGCCUUCUCAGAGAUUUUUUAUAAAAGCAUUUGUUUUGAAUUUAUUUUUCAGCUUGGGGCGGCGGGUGGGGGGGGGGGUUGUUUGUCAAACUGAUUUUACAUAACUGGAUUUUUUUUUUAAUGUUGCAAAGUGCCUGAAUAAUGGUGUCUUUUUCAUCAUAUAGCAAAAUGUGUGUGAGAGAGUGUGUCAGAAUCUACUUUGGUAGAUGGAACCCAAGUGUCUGUAGCUCUGGCUCAUCGCAGGGCGCAAUACCAGCCCAACUGACUUUGUUUACAAAGAUACAAGGUGGCAACUGUGCCGGGAAAGGCCGGUGUCCUGGUGUCCUCGUUUUGGGUAAUUAGCCCCUGACGGCUUUACUUACCUGUCCCUCAGCUUCCUCCUCCUGCUUCAGGAAGGGUUCCUAUAGCAAGCGUUUGGCUGUGACAAAGCCCACCAGGUUCACACCUGGGUGUAACAACCCACCUUCCAGAAAUCUCACUGGAUGCAAAGGUACAGCUUCCAGAGCCUGCCGCUGGGGUUCUCCUCUUAGAACAAGUUAGAGAAGAGAGGAAGAAAGCCAUUAUGAAAGCAAAUGUUAGAUAGCGUCUUAGCCACCCUGUUUGUUCACAGUGUGGGUAUUUGUUCUGGACUUGAAAUCUGUACUUUGAAAGUGGCCUUUGGAAAGCAAAUAAGUCGGCUUGGAUUUUCUUGUUGUCUGCAGCACAAAAUAAUCUUCCCCGUCCAAGUGGAAAAUUCUCAUUGAUUUUUUUUUUUUUUUGGAUGUACAAAACUGUUUCUUGGAACGCCAAAUUUCCUCUUUGAAAUGACUCAAUAACUAAGUGUGUGCUGCUUUCGCCUCCUGCGCCCACUGCUCCUGAACAACCUAUCUCUCUGUCGGUGAAGAGAUGCCUUUGUGGAUGUGAACAUCUGGCUGUGAGACCACAGGAAUGCCUUAGAGGAAUGGCACUUUGUAAAGCUGUCUGAAUUGAUAUCUACAGGCUAUCACACCUCCUGUUGGUUCACGAUCCAGGAAGUUUUGUUGUGUGCUUACUUAAAUUUACUGUCGCAUUAUAUAGAUUUCCAAGUCUUUGGGAAGAAAAUUAACUGUUUUAGUCUCUUUAGCCCCAAUAAAUGUGAGCAGGAAACC